UACGUAGGGGGCAAGCGUUGUCCGGAAUCAUUGGGCGUAAAGAGCGUGUAGGCGGCCAGAAAAGUCCGCUGUGAAAACUCGAGGCUCAACUUCGAGCUGUCGGUGGAAACUUUCUGGCUAGAGUCCGGAAGAGGAGAAUGGAAUUCCUGGUGUAGCGGUGAAAUGCGCAGAUAUCAGGAGGAACACCGGUGGCGAAGGCGGUUCUCUAGGCCGAUACUGACGCUGAGGAGCGAAAGCGUGGGGAGCGAACAGG
rnacentral:rRNA from 1 species